UCUCUGUGAUGUCUUGAGAUCCCGCUUACCCUUUGCUGCGUGCUCAAUAGAAGGGAAGUGAAGAAACCUAUGGCUGAGAGA
rnacentral:snoRNA from 1 species